GUAAGGAAUAUUGGUCAAUGGACGAAAGUCUGAACCAGCCAUGCCGCGUGGAGGAUGAAGGUCCUCUGGAUUGUAAACUUCUUUUAUAUGGGACGAAAAAAGGCUUUUCUAAGUCGUCUGACGGUACCAUAUGAAUAAGCACCGGCUAACUCCGUGCCAGCAGCCGCGGUAAUACGGAGGGUGCAAGCGUUAUCCGGAUUCACUGGGUUUAAAGGGUGCGUAGGUGGAUUGCCAAGUCCGUGGUGAAAUCUUCGAGCUUAACUCGGAAACUGCCAUGGAUACUGGUGAUCUUGAAUAUCGUGGAGGUUAGCGGAAUAUGUCAUGUAGCGGUGAAAUGCUUAGAUAUGACAUAGAACACCAAUUGCGAAGGCAGCUGGCUACGCGAAUAUUGACACUCAGGCACGAAAGCGUGGGGAUCAAACAGGAUUAGAAACCCUUGUAGUCC
rnacentral:rRNA from 1 species